rnacentral:tRNA from 1 species
GGGGGAUUAGCUCAGUUGGGAGAGCGCUUGAAUGGCAUUCAAGAGGUCAGGGGUUCGAAUCCCCUAUCCUCCA